rnacentral:ncRNA from 2 species
CCUUCGUAUUGCCGAAGGUUUCCUAUUUCGACAUGCGUUACUAGCAAUGGUGAGGUGUGAAGCUCGAAAGACAAUGUAGCCUUAAGUUCAACAGUGAUGUUGAACAAACUGCAAGCAUCAUGCGGUUGGG